rnacentral:rRNA from 1 species
UACGUAGGCAGCAAGCGUUGUUCGGAGUUACUGGGCGUAAAGGUGGCGUAGCGGCCCUGUAAGUAUGGUGUGAAAUCUCCCGGCUUAACUGGGAGGGUGCGCUAUAGACUGCGGGGCUCGAGUGUGGGAGAGGAAAGUGGAAUUCCUGGUGUAGCGGUGAAAUGCGUAGAUAUCAGGAGGAACACCGGUGGUGUAAACGGCUUUCUGGACCAUAACUGACGCUGAGGCACGAAAGCGUGGGUAGCAAACAGG